rnacentral:lncRNA from 1 species
GAUGGUCUAAGGAAUCAAACCCAAUCUAUAUGGGCUUUCCACGAAUUAUACAAAGUUGGCAACUUUGAGCAUGAUGAACAAGACAUGCCCUAAAAAGUCAUCCACGUGUAUUUUAAAAUUCUUUGUUUUUUAUUUGGCUGAAUAAAACUUGAAGGGCAUUGUCAACCCUCAACAGUUAAAUAUAUUGCAAAUCAAUAUCUUCACUCAAUUACCACAAGCAACCCACAUAGUCAAACAGUAGAUCCUCUAGUACGCAACUACUUUCACGGUAUAUUCAAUUGGGGUACUCUGCAAUCAAGCAUUAUUCA